CAGGACUGAGUGUAGAAUGAUGUUUCUACCUGAAAAAUCACCUCCUUAUAUACUGUAAAACCUGUUAAACCAGUUUUCGGUCAUUUACAUAACUUUUUUUCUAGUUGUCCCCGGACGACCAAAAAUGAUUUCGUUCGUUUCAGACGUUCGAACGAGUAGUCCCGGGACAAAACGAGUAGUCCACGGACUAUUCGAACGGUUUGUCCGAGGACUAAAAAUGUUGUCCAUGGACGAGUCGUCCAGGGACGACCAAGUUGUCCGGGGACGACCGAAAGUUGUCCCGGGACGACUCAUUCCAGUAGUCCGCGGACUAAAAAUCUUGUCCGGGGACGAAAAAUUUAGUCCUCGGAGCUUCGU
rnacentral:lncRNA from 1 species